AGCGAACGCUGGCGGCAGGCCUAACACAUGCCAGUCGAACGAACCUUUCGGGGUUAGUGGCGGACGGGUGAGUAACACGUGGGAACGUGCCUUUAGGCUCGGAAUACCUCAGGGAAACUUGUGCUAAUACCGAAUGCGCCCUUCGGGGGAAAGAUUAAUCGCCUUUAGAGCGGCCCGCGUCUGAUUAGCUAGUUGGUUGAGGUAAUGGCUCACCAAGGCGACGAUCAGUAGCUGGUCUGAGAGGAUGAUCAGCCACAUUGGGACUGAGACACGGACCAAACUCCGACGGGAGGCAGCAGUGGAGAAUCUUGCGGGAUGGGCGAAAGCCUGACGCAGCCAUGCCGGGUGAAUGAUGAAGGUCUUAGGAUUGCAAAAUUCUUUCGCAGGGGACGAUAAUGACGGUACCCGGAGAAGAAGCCCCGGCUAACUUCGUG
rnacentral:rRNA from 1 species